CAGCAGCCGCGGUAAUCCGUAGGGUGCGAGCGUCAAUCGGAAUUACUGGGCGUAAAGCGUGCGCAGGCGGUUAUAUAAGACAGAUGUGAAAUCCCCGGGCUCAACCUGGGACCUGCAUUUGUGACUGUAUAGCUAGAGUACGGUAGAGGGGGAUGGAAUUCCGCGUGUAGUAGUGAAAUGCGUAGAUAUGCGGAGGAACACCGAUGGCGAAGGCAAUCCCCUGGACCUGUACUGACGCUCAUGCACGAAAGCGUGGAGAGCAAACAGGAUUAGAUACCCGCGUAGUCCCUGUCUCUUAUAA
rnacentral:rRNA from 1 species